CUGAACCAGCCAAGUAGCGUGAAGGAUGAAGGUCCUACGGAUUGUAAACUUCUUUUAUACGGGAAUAAAGUAUCCUACGUGUAGGAUUUUGUAUGUACCGUAUGAAUAAGCAUCGGCUAACUCCGUGCCAGCAGCCGCGGUAAUACGGAGGAUGCGAGCGUUAUCCGGAUUUAUUGGGUUUAAAGGGAACGCAGACGGGAGAUUAAGUCAGUUGUGAAAGUUUGCGG
rnacentral:rRNA from 1 species